rnacentral:rRNA from 1 species
GAACGCUGGCGGCGUGCCUAAUACAUGCAAGCCGAGCGAGAAUCAAUGAACAGAGAUUCGUCAACGGGAUAUUGAGGAAAGCGGCGGACGGGUGAGUAACGCGUAGGCAACCUGCCCUUAGCAGAGGGAUAGCCAUUGGAAACGAUGAUUAAAGCCUCAUAAUGCUGUUGGGACACAUGUCCCUGCAGCCAAAGAUUUAUCGGCUAAGGAUGGGCCUGCGUCUGAUUAACUAGUUGGUGAGGUAACGGCCCACCAAGGUGACGAUCAGUAGCCGACCUGAGAGGGUGAUCGGCCACAUUGGAACUGAGACACGGUCCAAACUCCUACGGGAGGCAGCAGUGAGGAAUAUUGGUCAAUGGGCGAGAGCCUGAACCAGCCAAGUAGCGUGAAGGGGAUGACUGCCCUAUGGGUUGUAAACCUCUUUUGUUUGGGAAUAAAGUGAGCCACGUGUGGCUUUUUGUAUGUACCUUACGAAUAAGCAUCGGCUAAUUCCGUGCCAGCAGCCGC